UACGGAGGGUGCAAGCGUUGCUCGGAUUUAUUGGGCGUAAAGGGCUCGUAGGCGGUUUGUCGCGUCGGGAGUGAAAACACGGGGCUUAACCCCGUGCCUGCUUCCGAUACGGGCAGACUAGAGGUAUGCAGGGGAGAACGGAAUUCCUGGUGUAGCGGUGAAAUGCGCAGAUAUCAGGAGGAACACCGGUGGCGAAGGCGGUUCUCUGGGCAAUAACUGACGCUGAGGAGCGAAAGCGUGGGGAGCGAACAGG
rnacentral:rRNA from 1 species